AACGAACGCUGGCGGCAGGCCUAACACAUGCAAGUCGAGCGAAGCCUUCGGGCUUAGCGGCGGACGGGUGAGCAACGCGUGGGAACGUGCCCUUUGGUACGGAAUAGCCCCGGGAAACUGGGAGUAAUACCGUAUGUGGUCGAGAGACGAAAGAUUUAUCGCCAAAGGAUCGGCCCGCGUUGGAUUAGGUAGUGGGUGGGGUAAUGGCCUACCAAGCCGACGAUCCAUAGCUGGUUUGAGAGGAUGAUCAGCCACACUGGGACUGAGACACGGCCCAGACUCCUACGGGAGGCAGCAGUGGGGAAUCUUAGACAAUGGGGGAAACCCUGAUCUAGCCAUGCCGCGUGAUCGAUGAAGGCCUUAGGGUUGUAAAGAUCUUUCAGUGGGGAAGGUAAUGACUGUACCCACAGAAGAAGCCCCGGCUAACUCCGUGCCAGCCGCCGCGGUAAUAC
rnacentral:rRNA from 1 species